rnacentral:rRNA from 1 species
GAUGAACGCUGGCGGCGUGCCUAAUACAUGCAAGUCGAGCGAACAGAUGAGGAGCUUGCUCCUCUGACGUUAGCGGCGGACGGGUGAGUAACACGUGGAUAACCUACCUAUAAGACUGGGAUAACUUCGGGAAACCGGAGCUCAUACCGGAUAAUAUAUUGAACCGCAUGGUUCAAUAGUGAAAGACGGUUUUGCUGUCACUUAUAGAUGGAUCCGCGCCGCAUUAGCUAGUUGGUAAGGUAACGGCUUACCAAGGCAACGAUGCGUAGCCGACCUGAGAGGGUGAUCGGCCACACUGGAACUGAGACACGGUCCAGACUCCUACGGGAGGCAGCAGUAGGGAAUCUUCCGCAAAGGGCGAAAGCCUGACGGAGCAACGCCGCGUGAGUGAUGAAGGUCUUCGGAUCGUAAAACUCUGUUAUUAGGGAAGAACAAAUGUGUAAGUAACUAUGCACGUCUUGACGGUACCUAAUCAGAAAGCCACGGCUAACUACGUG